rnacentral:lncRNA from 1 species
AACCUUAUUUAAUAAAACAAUUUAAAUUAAGUUUAAAUAAUCACCAAAUAAUCUUAAAACAAACAUCACAAAAACUACUGAUAUAUAAAUUAUAUGCAAUUUAUUUUCCUUAACAUCCAACUUAAUCAAAACUAAAUUUUCUUUCUUUAAAAUUUAAUCACAAAUUUAAUUAACGAAAACCUGGACAUAAUAGACAAAUAAAAAUACAAAUCAAAAUAAAUAUAAACUCCCCUUUAUUUAUUUUUUUUAAAUCUUUAAAUAAUUAAAAAAUGCAAAAGUACGGUUCAUGGUGGCAGUGGGGUGACGGAAAGGGGAUGGAGAGGUCGGCGGCUGUGAUUCGCCGGUGGCAAUGGUUUUCGGCAUGGUUGUUGGUUCGCCGUAGUCGGAGAUGGAGGAGAGACAGCGGUCACCAGAUCUGGCUGAUGUAGGGAGGAGGGGAGAAAAGUGAGAAGGAGAGGCACCAACGACAGGAAGGAAGACGGCGGUGCUGAUCGGAAAGGGGAGGGGGAGAAGGUGUCGGUGAUCUGAAGGAGUUUCCGACGAGAUCUGACCGAUUUUUAUGGCAAUUUUUCACCGGAUUUCGGGCCAAAAAAAGGGUUCGACACUGGUGGAGCAUCGGUUAGCCGGCAAGUUGUCGGAUCUUAAAUUUCCCGGCGGAAUCACCCUGCUGGAACAGUAACAGCAGUCUUUGUUCGUCGGUUUAUUUGGUUUCGACCGAAAUUUUAAAAGGGUGAUAUUUUUCGGUGAGAAAAUUUUAUUUUAGGAGAAAAAUUAUAUCUUCUACUAGCUUUCUCUUUUUUGUUUUCAUGAGUUCUUAAUUAUCACUCAUCAUUCACCAUUUUUUCCAUUUUUUCUUAUUUUAGUGUGUGUGUGGAAAUCAGUGAGACCUGUGAGUAUGUUCAGUAAAGACAUACAGUGAGUUUAUUUUUGGUGAAUGUAAAAAUGAAAAUCUGCGUAAAUUACUUGUAUUUUGGAACAAUAUUAAAAAUGGAAGAGUAUUUUGGGGUGUGCUUGCUUUAUGUAUGAAAUGAAUGAAAA